CACACACACACACACACACACACACACACACACACACACACACACACACACACACCCUAGAUAACGUAAAUAAGGGACAAGCGUGACCUAAGUGGUGUGUGUUUGUAAGUGCAGAUGUGGACUCAGCAUGGUCAGGUUCUGUGCUAUAGUUGUCGCACUUACAGUCCUUACAGUCCGUCUUUUUUAUACCUCACUUUUUAAAACUCACUGAAAAGUACAGUCAGUCUUGUUAACUGAAAACUAUCUGAUUCUUCAGAUUUUACGAAACGAUAGUCUCUUAUUACAGAUGACUAAUUUAUAAUGGUGACGCCACCAGGUUACCUCCCUCUACAGAUGAAUGGCAUUACUGUAGGUGAGGGUGAGGGUGAGAUCAUGACUCACAAUGAGACAGAUGAACCAAACGGACCAUCAGAGAGAGAGAGAGAGAGCGCCAAGCUCAUGUGUGUGUGGACUCCUAAACAAAUGCAGAUAUGCGUGCAUGCACACGCACAUGGCAUACACACACACACACACGCAUGGCAUGCACACACGCAUGGCAUGAACGUGUCCAAAGGUUUCGAUGGUUAACAUUACUGGAACAAGGUUAACAUUACUGGACCUUCCACCCCCCUCUUCCUCCACUUCAAUGGAAUAGUCCAUUCUACAAGGCACUGGAUCCUAAUAUCAACAUGGAGAAGAGGGCAAAACCAAAACCAAAAGACUACCAACUAAUAACCCGACGUCUCUGUUCGUCACGUCUGAAACAUAACCAAAACUGUCAUUUAGAGUCCUUGUAUAUGUGUGUGUGUGUGUAUAUGUGUGUGUGUGUGUGUGUGUGUGUGUGUGUGAGAGAGACACUCUCAACCCUGCAUGCUGCAUCUGCGUUGGCCACGCCACUUAGGUUUUGACAGAGGAGGAAACAAACAGAGAGAAUGAUUAAGUACAGCUGGGCCGUAAUAAACACAUCAGCUUAAGUUCACACACACACACACACACACACACACACACACACACACACACAGGGGCCCUGCUGUCCGUGUGGUCAGCGAGCGACACACACACUGGGGUCCUGCUGUCCGUGUGGUCAGCGAGUGAGACAC
ensembl:lncRNA